AAUGCACUUCUAUGAUUAUAGAAAAUGCAGCGUCUGAACAGGACUUUUAUUUUGGAGUGACGACAUGACGUCAUAAGACUGCGCCUCGAUCCUGCAUCUGCUGUGAUUCUGUUGAAGAAGGGUUUGUUUUAAAAAAUGGCAUUUAUUAAAGAUGAGACUGAAGAUAUGAAGAUUGAGUUUAUUAAAGAAGAGACUGAAGAUAUGAAGAUAAUUAUUAAAGAUGAGACUGAGGACAUGAAGAUUGAAGAUAUUGAGGAACAAACAGAGCUGAUGGAAGUGAAGCAGGAGAGUGAAGAACUGAG